UUGGCCUACGGGGCGCAGCAGUGAGGAAUAUUGGUCAAUGGCCGGAAGGCUGAACCAGCCAAGUCGCGUGAGGAAAUAAGACCCUAUGGGUCGUAAACCUCUUUUGUCAGGGAGCAGAGGCGUCCACGUGUGGACGAGAGGAGAGUACCUGAAGAAAAAGCAUCGGCUAACUCCGUGCCAGCAGCCGCGGUAAUACGUAGGGGGCAAGCGUUAUCCGGAUUUACUGGGUGUAAAGGGUGCGUAGGUGGCAUGGCAAGUCUGAAGUGAAAGCCCGGGGCUCAACC
rnacentral:rRNA from 1 species